rnacentral:lncRNA from 1 species
AAGGAAGUUUGGGAAAUGCGGUUUCCAGGCUGCCAGCCCCUGAAGUACAGAGGAGACUGUGGAAAGGCAGGAGUGAGCCCAGGAGCCACAGGCAACAUCCGGGGAUAGCUGCCAAGAGGAAGCAGUGAGUCAAGAACGUGGCUCCUGAACGUCAAGUCUUGGAAUUCAAACACUUCCAUCAAGUAACAGUCAGCAGCCCUGAGAAUUGUUGCUGCUAUCUAGAAGAUAGUGCAUCCUCGAGCCAGAACCCCAGUGACAACCUCAGGCUGCACUUGUGCUCCCAUCUUCUGUAUUAAAUGUAGACCUGGAAGGAGGUGUGAGAGAGAAGGAGGCAGCGGCAAUAUUGCAGAUGUGGUGAAGAUCUGGAGAGGUGGCCUUUACAGCACUGACCAUGAGCAAUGGGCCUGCUGUGAAGAAACAAGUAGUCUCCAGGCCGUGCCUACUGGUGGGUCCUUCUCCUUGAAUCAGAGAAGCAGACUCAAAGGGCUGAGUUUCAUCUCCAGUCUCAUCCUUGGCUUUAAUAUUGCCCCUCCAGAUGUCUUUUAUUUCUUUUUCAUCUAUUUCCAGUAGGUCCUUAU